UACGUAGGGGGCAAGCGUUGUCCGGAAUCACUGGGCGUAAAGGGCGCGUAGGCGGAUCUUUAAGUCGGGGGUGAAAGCCCAGGGCUCAACCCUGGAAUUGCCUUCGAUACUGGAGAUCUUGAGACCGGAAGAGGUAAGUGGAACUGCGAGUGUAGAGGUGAAAUUCGUAGAUAUUCGCAAGAACACCAGUGGCGAAGGCGGCUUACUGGUCCGGUUCUGACGCUGAGGCGCGAAAGCGUGGGGAGCAAACAGG
rnacentral:rRNA from 1 species